rnacentral:rRNA from 1 species
UACGAAGGGGGCUAGCGUUGCUCGGAAUCACUGGGCGUAAAGCGCACGUAGGCGGCUUUCUAAGUCAGGGGUGAAAUCCUGGAGCUCAACUCCAGAACUGCCUUUGAUACUGGAGAGCUUGAGUCCGGAAGAGGUGAGUGGAACUCCGAGUGUAGAGGUGAAAUUCGUAGAUAUUCGGAAGAACACCAGUGGCGAAGGCGGCUCACUGGUCCGGUACUGACGCUGAUGUGCGAAAGCGUGGGGAGCAAACAGGAUUAAGAAAC